AUUGAUCAUAAAAAUUAAGUGUUAUGUUACUAGAAACCUAGAAGUAAUAACAUAGUUCUGGGUUUCUAAUAACAUAACAUUUAAUUUCUAACAACAUAGUUCUAAGCUUCUACCUAACAUAGGUUAUUAAUACACCUCUACAGGUUACUCUCACACGCCAUCACAUAGGUUGGUGCGAACCUAAUCCUUGUAAGAAUGGCCAAUGUGUGAUGGCUUCUCGAGAAGAAACGUAUGUCUGUAAAUGUCACCAAGGUUACACUGGAGUCAACUGUACUCACAGAACAGCCAGUCCUAAAACCAUAAUCGUUAUUGGUUCUGUUAUGGGAAUAUUAUUUCUGAUCUCUAUAUCAGUUGUCAUUUUUCUGGUAAUCAGAUUGAGAAAUUUAAUAAAGUCGAGCAAACUUCAGAAGGAUCCUUAAUCAUCUCAUUCAAAGGAUUCAGCCACAGAAAUAAUUCUGCAUCAAUGGAUAAAACAUUUCACUAUAUUUUCUGAUUUUUUAUGAACCAGGUUUAUAAUGUGGUGAAGGACUAUCUGUAUAAAGAGAGAAUGAAUAAAAAACUGAACUUUUUCUCGAAUUUCUCAACAGAAAAGUCCUGGUGUCAGAAGAUAUUUGAUAGAAGACAUCCUCACUCUGAAGAAUAUUUAUAACAUUAAAUGUAAAAUUAAUCAAUAUUCACCAUAAGUUAUGUAAAAGGUUAAGAAGAAUAUUUUAAAGAAAAAUAUUUUUUCAAUAGAUUAACAGUAUUUUUUUUUCUGACGAUGUCAUUAUUGGUAAUGAAACCCAUGAGAUAAAUGAAGCUAUUUGGAUGUCGAUUGUUGGGUAAUUAAACUAUUGGGAAUUACUGAAUCAAUCAACGUAACGAUUAUCAUCCAACAAACUCAAAAUAAAACGUUCUAUAAUUAAUAUUAAAUUAAAAAUACUUACUAGAAACUCUAUAAGUGCAUUUAUAUUCGGCAUAAUAAGAAAAC
rnacentral:lncRNA from 1 species